rnacentral:lncRNA from 1 species
UCCCCUAGAUUGACUAUGAAUAAGCAAGCAACCAUUUGAUUGCCAUCAUUUCUUCUUUGAUCUGGAGUACUUUGAUCCUAAGUAUUGGAUCAUCCUUGAUAUCUCGUGCCAUUGGAUUAAUGAUAAAUCUUCUUUUAAAGCAACGAAUCACAUAUUAUCAAGCCUGCCUAUGGAGCAAAAGUGACUGAGGUGCUGUUGGAGUGAUACAACUAAUUUUUCUCUUAAAGCAUUGUUUGAACUUGAUAUGAACCAUUUCAUGAUGAUGAUUUUAUCACCAUGACUAAGUUUCCAACUAGUGAAUUGAUC